rnacentral:rRNA from 1 species
ACGUAGGGACCAAGCGUUGUUCGGAUUUACUGGGCGUAAAGGGCGCGUAGGCGGCAAUUCAAGUCAGCUGUGAAAUCUCCGGGCUUAACUCGGAACGGUCAGCUGAUACUGCUUUGCUAGAGUGCGGAAGGGGCAAUCGGAAUUCUCGGUGUAGCGGUGAAAUGCGUAGAUAUUCGGGAGAACGCCAGUGGCGAAGGCGACUAACUGGACAGGUAUUGACGCUGAGGUGCGAAAGCGUGGGGAGCAAACAGGA